CCUACGGGUGGCAGCAGUGGGGGAUAUUGGACAAUGGGGGAAACCCUGAUCCAGCGACGCCGCGUGAGUGAAGAAGUAUUUCGGUAUGUAAAGCUCUAUCAGCAGGGAAGAAAGAAAUGACGGUACCUGAGUAAGAAGCCCCGGCUAACUACGUGCCAGCAGCCGCGGGAAUACGUAGGGGGCAAGCGUUAUCCGGAAUUACUGGGUGUAAAGGGAGCGUAGACGGUAAUGCAAGUCUGGAGUGAAAGGCGGGGGCCCAACCCCCGGACUGCUGUGGAAACUGGGUAACUGGAGUGCGUGAGAGGUAGGCGGAAGGCGUGGUGUAGCGGUGAAAUGCGUAGAUAUUAGGAGGAACUCCAGUGGCGAAGGCAGCCUGCUGGACUGUAACUGACGUUGAGGCUCGAAAGCGUGGGGAGCAAACAGGAUUAGAUACCCUAGUAGUC
rnacentral:rRNA from 1 species